AGAAAAACUUCAUAAUGUUGUUCAAAAAUGAAGGCCACAAUGCUAAUGUUGUCCACUCGAUGGCGCCACAGGAUAGCAAAUACUUCAAGAUCUGUUCAAAGACUUGUUUCAUUUAUGUAAAUAAAUCAAAAAUGCAUAUACAUUCAUUCUUUUUUCAUAAACUUUAAUAAAGCCCAAUAUAGUAAUUAUGCAAAAACUAUCAUCUCCGAAAUACCAUUACGUUUUUAUCUUAUUUUAAUAGUAUUGACAACAUAUUUCUCAAGUUAUCACGCAUUACUGAAAAAGUGAAGAAGGGACACUAUAUUUGUUAUCUAUUUUCAUGUUGUGCGUAUAAUAAUUUACUUGAAAAGAGACACGUCCAUUGUUUAACUGCAUCAUCUACACAAACCAUUGUGCUUGGACCCCUUAUGAUCACCUGGACUUAAACCACAUUGUUUCAGUUACCUUCUGUGUCUUUGGCCACAACGCUUCAGUGACAGGAAUGUGAAAUAGCAAACAGGGGAACAAAUAAAAGGCAUGACUUUAUUUGCAUCCAGCUAGCCAACUCUAUUAUAGGUGUUCCACAGCCAAGACUCUUAUUUAAUAUAUAUAUAUAUAUAUAUAUAUUGUUCUUUGUUUGUGUGUGUGUGUGUGUGUGUGUGAGAGUGUGUGAGAAAGACAGAGAGAGAGAGACUCCAAACUGCUAAAUUAAGUGUGCCCAAUCCUGUUCCUGGUGAUCGACUGUCCUGCAAAGUUCAGCUCCAACUCUAAUCAGUCACACCUACCUUUCAUUUUCAAGCAAUCCUGAAGACAUUAAUUAGUUGCUUCAGGUGUGUUUGAUUAGGGAUGGAGCAAAACUUUACAGGACAAUCGAUCGCCAUUAACAGAGUUGGACACCCCUGUGCUAGAGGGUUACUGUGUAUGUGUCCGCUGGGCACAGUUUUCCUGAUGCCACCGGGGUGGCGUUUGCGCUGACGGCUCGGGCCCGCCAUCGCUGCUUGCAGCUAUAUUUAUUAUUAUUAUUCUAAUUUUUUUUCAAGGUUUCGGGGGCUUUUAGGGCCCUUAACAUGCUUAAAAAGUCUUGAAAAUUGGCACACACAUUGGAACCUGCGGCCAUUAGGGCCGGGUAGAGACUGAUACACGGGCGUGGCACAGGGGCUCUACAGCGCCCCCUGGAAUAUGGAGGGCCAUAUAUCAUACAUACUUGCACGUAGACGUAUGAAACUCGGUACACAUAUAGAUCUCAUCAAUCCAAACAACUUUCGCACUGCAUGUCAUAAGCUCCGCCCAACAGGAAGUUGGCUAUUUAGUGUUUAGUAUUCUUAUUUUUCAUCAAAGUUGUGGGGGCUUUUGGGGCCCUUAACAUGCUCAAAAACUCUUGAAAAUUUGCACACACCUUAGAAUCUGUGGCCAUUAGGAGGCCGCAGAGGCUGGGACCCGGGCGUGGGACAGGGGCUCUACGGCGCCCCCUGGAACACAGUCAGAAAUGUUGAUGUAUAGCUCACACAUACUUGCACGUAUUCAUAUAUAACUCAGUACACUUAUAGAUCUCAUCGUGCCGAACAACUUUCGUAUUGCAUGUCAUAGGCUCCGCCCAACAGGAAGUCAGCUAUUUAGAGCUAUGUAAAAAGCGCAUGCUCUGGAAUUUGAUAUACUUGUCAUAGGUUUUUUACCCGAUUGCAACCAAACUUGGUCAACAUGAUCUCAAGACAUUGGGGAUGCAAAAUUGCCAGGGGAUUUUUGAUAUCUCGAACGGUUUGCUCGUGGCGAGG
rnacentral:lncRNA from 1 species